rnacentral:rRNA from 1 species
UUAGCUUGUUGGUGAGGUAACUGCUCACCAAGGCAUCGAUCUAUAGCUGGUCUGAGAGGAUGAUCAGCCACACUGGGACUGAGACACGGCCCAGACUCCUACGGGAGGCAGCAGUAGGGAAUAUUGGUCAAUGGGCGAGAGCCUGAACCAGCCAUGCCGCGUGCAGGACGACGGCCUUCUGGGUUGUAAACUGCUUUUAUACAGGAAUAAAAAGUGCCUGCGGGCGAAAUUGCAUGUACUGUAUGAAUAAGCACCGGCUAACUCCGUGCCAGCAGCCGCGGUAAUACGGAGGGUGCAAGCGUUGUCAGGAUUUAUUGGGUUUAAAGGGUGCGUAGGCGGUUAUUUAAGUCAGUGGUGAAAACCCUGAGCUCAACUGAGGGCUUGCCAUUGAUACUGGAUAACUUGAUUACCGUACAGGUAGGCGGAAUUUAUGGUGUAGCGGUGAAAUGCAUAGAUACCAUAAAGAACACCGAUAGCGAAGGCAGCUUACUGGAGGGUAAAUGACGCUGAUGCACGAAAGCGUGGGUAGCGAACGGGAUUAGAUACCCCGGUAGUCCACGCUGUAAACGAUGAUCACUCGAUGUGUGCGAUAGACAGUACGCGUCCAAGCGGAAGCGUUAAGUGAUCCACCUGGGAAGUACGACCGCAAGGUUG